rnacentral:rRNA from 1 species
CCUACGGGUGGCAGCAGUGAGGAAUAUUGGUCAAUGGGCUUACGCCUAAACCAGCCAAGUCGCGUGAGGGAAGACUGCCCUAUGGGUUGUAAACCUCUUUUGUCAGGGAGCAACGCCGGCUACGUGUAGCCGGACUGAGAGUACCUGAAGAAAAAGCAUCGGCUAACUCCGUGCCAGCAGCCGCGGUAAUACGGAGGAUGCGAGCGUUAUCCGGAUUUAUUGGGUUUAAAGGGUGCGUAGGCGGAAUGCCAAGUCAGCGGUAAAAUCGCGUGGCUCAACCUCGCUCCGCCGUUGAAACUGGCGUGCUUGAGUGGGCGAGAAGUAUGCGGAAUGCGUGGUGUAGCGGUGAAAUGCAUAGAUAUCACGCAGAACUCCGAUUGCGAAGGCAGCAUACCGGCGCCCAACUGACGCUGAAGCACGAAAGCGUGGGUAUCGAACAGGAUUAGAUACCCCAGUAGUC